AUUCCAGCUCCAAUAGCGUAUAUUAAUGUUGUUGCAGUUAAAAAGCUCGUAGUUGGAUUUCUGGUGGGAGUGGCCGGUCCGCCGUAAGGUGUGUACUUGGUUGUCUCCCGUCAUCCUUGUGGGAACUGCUCUGGCAUUAAGUUGUCGGGGUUAGGGAACACAUCGUUUACUGUGAAAAAAUUAGAGUGUUUAAAGCAGGCUUAUGCCGUUGAAUACAUUAGCAUGGAAUAAUAAGAUAGGACUUUGGCGUCUAUUUUGUUGGUUUGCACACCAAGGUAAUGAUUAAUAGGGAUAGUUGGGGGUAUUCAUAUUUAAUUGUCAGAGGUGAAAUUCUUGGAUUUAUGAAAGAUGAACUCAUGCGAAAGCAUUUACCAAGGAUGUUUUCAUUA
rnacentral:rRNA from 1 species